rnacentral:rRNA from 1 species
UACGAAGGGGGCUAGCGUUGUUCGGAUUUACUGGGCGUAAAGCGUGUGUAGGCGGACUGGAAAGUUGGGGGUGAAAUCCCGAGGCUCAACCUCGGAACUGCCUCCAAAACUUCCAGUCUGGACUCAAGUAGAGGCAAGUGGAAUUGCGAGUGUAGAGGUGAAAUUCGUAGAUAUUCGCAGGAACACCAGUGGCGAAGGCGACUUGCUGGACUUGUAGUGACGCUGAGACGCGAAAGCGUGGGGAGCAAACAGG